rnacentral:rRNA from 1 species
AGGGCCUACGGGGCGCAGCAGUGAGGAAUAUUGGUCAAUGGACGAGAGUCUGAACCAGCCAAGUAGCGUGAAGGAUGACUGCCCUAUGGGCUGUAAACUUCUUUUAUAUGGGAAUAAAACGUUCCACGUGUGGGAUUUUGUAUGUACCAUAUGAAUAAGGAUCGGCUAACUCCGUGCCAGCAGCCGCGGUAAUACGGAGGAUCCGAGCGUUAUCCGGAUUUAUUGGGUUUAAAGGGAGCGUAGGUGGAUUGUUAAGUCAGUUGUGAAAGUUUGCGGCUCAACCGUAAAAUUGCAGUUGAAACUGG